rnacentral:lncRNA from 1 species
UCAAAUCCGCUGGAAAUGAUGGAAGUGAUGCACUGCGGCAGUCAUAUCGCUGUCUCCUCUCAUUUUCCAACGAUGUUUAUUAAAAUAAACCGCACUCCACAGUGGAAUUGUUGUUUGUUAACUGCGAAUAUUAUGAAUGAGAUUGGAAAAUAUCCGUACGUCUGACGUCAUUGAAUGAAGAAGUAGCGAAUUGCAACACGGAGAGAGGCAGAGCGUACGGAUCGAUUUCGCACACGAAGCAGCCAAGAACACAGAUGAGUUGCUAGUAGUCGCAGUCGCCUUCGCUUGAUCAGGACGAGUCCAUUUCACUGUUCACUGCUCAAGAUGAUUUCUUUUCUGAUUUUGUCCAUGCAUGUGUACCUAAUGCUACAGUAUUUACCAAAGCCCGCAGACUCGAACAAUAUUUCAUCUUUAUCAGCAGAAAUGACUCGAUUGAAAGAUGAAUGUGAUCACCGCGAGAAAAAUCUCACAUUAACAAUUUGUGAGCUUCGUGUCGAGGUCAACCUGCUGAAUAAACAGCUGGAAGCUGAACGUAAUAAAAGUGAUACUUGGAGAGAUGCAGUUGCUGUGCUGAGAAAGGAGAAUGAAGAUCUGGCGAAGUAUUGGUCCGUGGUUCAAGCAAGGAGUGCCAUAGAGUACUUUGAAGACACUUUCGGUUUGGAUUCAGAAAUUGGUACAAAGCAAGUAACGGAAAUGCAGGAGUUGAUUGAGAAGAGUGGUGCUAUAGAGAAAACACGAGGAGAAAGAAUAUACCAAGAAAAAGUUUAUAAACGAUUAAAGAUAUUUCGUCGGGCAGCACUGUGGUACAAGAUACUGCGAAGUACGAAUACAAUUUUUCCCACUAAAAAAUUAGAGACUUUGAUUGAAACGAAUAGUGAAGAACCAAAAUCCGUACCGCAGUUUUGUUUGUGUAUUGCCCAAGCGUACAAAGAUCUGUCUCAGGCAUUGAUUCAUCCGGCUAUUUUCAAGAGACCUGCUGGUUUGGGGAUACACGAUAUGAACUUGCCCCAUGUAGUUGGAUGCACGAGCGAAGCUGUGAAGCUUUUGUUAUCUCUUUACACGCUCAAUCCACCUGCGAGAAGCACCGACACUUCCUAAAGUAAUUGGUAUAUUCUUGUGUCACAUCGUCUAAAAGGGACCCUUUUAAAGCAGGUAUAUUUACUGUUGGACGUUUUUUUUCAAUAAAUUUGAAUACAAGAUCUGUAAGUAUCUAACGCGUUUCUGAUUUUCCUCCUUCCCUCUUUUAAAUGUCCAAUU